UGGUGUAGUGGUAUCAUGCAAGAUUCCCAUUUUUGCGACCCGGGUUCGAAUCCCGG
rnacentral:tRNA from 1 species